rnacentral:ribozyme from 1 species
ACCUCUUCUGUCUUCUUUUUUUUUUUUUUUUUCUUCUCCAAUUGUGCAAGUUUCUUAAGAUCGGCAAUGCUUAGGUCU